rnacentral:rRNA from 1 species
CGAGCGGCGGACGGGUGAGUAAUGCCUAGGAAAUUGCCUUGAUGUGGGGRAUAMCCAUUGGAAACGAUGCUAAUACCGCAUAAUGCUACGGGCCAAAGAGGGGGAUCUUCGGACUCUCGCGUCAAGAUAUGCCUAGGUGGGAUUAGCUAGUUGGUGAGGUAAUGGCUCACCAAGGCGACGAUCCCCUAGCUGGUCUGAGAGGAUGAUCAGCCACACUGGAACUGAGACACGGUCCAGACUCUACGGGAGGCAGCAGUGGGGAAUAUUGCACAAUGGGCGAAAGCCUGAUGCAGCCAUGCCGCGUGUAUGAAGAAGGCUUCGGGUUGUAAAGUACUUUCAGUUGUGAGGAAGGGUGUGUAGUUAAWWASUGCGCAUCUUGACGUUAGCAACAGAAGAAGCACCGGCUAACUCCGUGCCAGCAGCCGCGGUAAUACGGAGGGUGCGAGCGUGUAAUCGGAAUUACUGGGCGUAAAGCGCAUGCAGGUGGUUCAUUAAGUCAGAUGUGAAAGCCCGGGGCUCAACCUCGGAACUGCAUUUGAAACUGGUGAACUAGAGUGCUGUAGAGGGGGGUAGAAUUUCAGGUGUAGCGGUGAAAUGCGUAGAGAUCUGAAGGAAUACC